GCCGGGCGUAGUGGCGUGCGCCUGUAGUCCCAGCUACUCCGGAGGCUGAGGCAGGAGAAUCGCUUGAACUCGGGAAGCGGAGGUUGCGGUGACCUGAGAUCGCGCCACUGCACUCCCGCCUGGGCGACAGAGCGAUACACCGUCUCAA
rnacentral:SRP_RNA from 2 species